UAGCACUCCCCAGCAGAGAAGAGUGAGGAACUAGCGAGAGGUCACUCCUCUGCCCAAGACACAGCAGCAACCACAGAUGAGGAUGCCUCAAGCUGAGGUAAGAUGCACGUUUCUCAUCCGCCCAGCAAACAGCUCUGCCCAACAGAUUCCCCUGAGGAGAAAAGGAGAAAAAUGCAUGUCACACCCUGACCAGAAGCCAGCCAGCAGCUCACAGUCACAUCAGCUGUCAUAAAGCUGCAAAAUAACCUCGUGGCUUAGCUGAGCCAAACCCCGCUGCUCCGAGAUUCAUUUGGUAAAGCAUAUGCAACUCCAGUCAGAAGGCCCACGGGAAACACCCCAAAAGAGAGACAUAAAGUGUUCUCAAAGUUGCUUGUAGGGUAGGUUGAGAAGGCAUUCCUCGGAUGACCAUGAAUGGUAGCAGAAUCAGCUGUGAUUUUGCUGGAGCCAGUUAGACUUCGGAGGCAAAAAAUUCUCCCCAUGAGAUAUCCAGGACACUGGAGAGGGACUUUU